UAAGACACAGAAGGAAGCUGUAUG
rnacentral:piRNA from 1 species